GAUGAACGCUGGCGGCGUGCCUAAUACAUGCAAGUCGAGCGAACAGACGAGGAGUUUGCCUCCUUGACGUUAGCGGCGGACGGGAGAGUCACACGUGGAUAACCUACCUAUAAGACUGGGAUAACUUCGGGAAACCGGAGCUAAUACCGGACAAUAUAUUGAACCGCAUGGUCCAAUAGUGAAAGACGGCUUUGCUGUCACGUAUAGAUGGAUCCGCGCCGCAUUAGCUAGUUGGUAAGGUAACGGCUUACCAAGGCGACGAUGCGUAGCCGACCUGAGGGGGUGGUCGGCCGCACGGGAGCGCGAACACGCUCCAGACGACUGCGAGAGGCAGCAGAAGGGAACCGGACGCAGUGGGCGGAAGCAUGGCGCAGCAGCCCAGCGUGAGUGAUAACGAUCUUCGGAUCGUGAUGCUCUGUUAUUGGUGGUAAACAAAUGUGUAAGGAGAAGAACACGUAUUGACGGUACCUGAACAGAAAGCCCCGGCUAACUACGUG
rnacentral:rRNA from 1 species